GGAGAUCUGCCUGGGCAUCAAGCAGAGAAGGCCUCAAUCCACCACUAUCUCUGCACAGGAAGGGUUAGGAAACUCAGGCUGCUGGUCCGGGCAAGCAGUUGCUCCAAAUGCAUGGAGUUCUGCCUGGAUGUGGAGUGAAGAGGCCCCCCUGCAUCAGGAUCUCUACACAGGAAGGAUGGCCGUAGCUCAGGCUGCUGAACCAGAACAGAAAUUGUCUUGUCAUUCUGUGUCCCUUGGGACUCCUAUUAUUACUGGCAGAUGCAAAUUUUGAUGAUUACAUUUUCUAAAUCCAUGAUUAAACUU
rnacentral:lncRNA from 10 species